GACGAACGCUGGCGGCGUGCUUAACACAUGCAAGUCGAACGCUGAAGCACCAGCUUGCUGGUGUGGAUGAGUGGCGAACGGGUGAGUAAUACGUGAGUAACCUGCCCUUGACUCUGGGAUAAGCCCGGGAAACUGGGUCUAAUACUGGAUGCUACAUGUCACCGCAUGGUGGUGUGUGGAAAGGGUUUACUGGUCUUGGAUGGGCUCACGGCCUAUCAGCUUGUUGGUGAGGUAAUGGCUCACCAAGGCGACGACGGGUAGCCGGCCUGAGAGGGUGACCGGCCACACUGGGACUGAGACACGGCCCAGACGCCUACGGGAGGCAGCAGUGGGGAAUAUUGCACAAUGGGCGAAAGCCUGAUGCAGCGACGCCGCGUGAGGGAUGACGGCCUUCGGGUUGUAAACCUCUUUCAGCAGGGAAGAAGCCACAAGUGACGGUACCUGCAGAAGAAGCGCCGGCUAACUACGUG
rnacentral:rRNA from 1 species